CACUCUAUCUUGGUCUUGGUGUCUGGUUUCAAUUUUAUAUCCCAGUCAAUCUAAAGUCAUGCAGCUUAGAAAUCUUCCCAUUGCUCUCCUUGUGUUGAUGGUCUUGUUUUCUCCAGGAUGUAUCUGUUUUGAGGCGGUUGCAGCUAAUGCUGAGGAGUGCAGUCAAAUUAAAGGAUUUUGUACUUCUGACUCUGAAUGCGGUACACCCUAUCCUGCCAUGGGAAACUGUGGUCCAGACACCCUAUGUUGCUUACCAUUUGGUAAAAAGUGAUUGACUCAGGGAGAAACAUCUUGCCUUACCAAUGCUUUGACUGCUGAUCCAUUGUCCCGUCUUCUUCACAAUAUUAUGUUGCCAUGGUAUGGAGAUUCUGCUUCAAGAACAGAAAGAAUGAUCAUGUGUACAUGCUUUCAAUGCAAAUCAUACAAUAAUCUAAAUAAACACAUCUUCUGUGUUGUUGGAGUGUGUGUUUGGUUUUCUGUUCCUAUAUCUCUGUUGAGAACUUUUGGACUGGACUAUUGACUAUGCCUAUUGGAUUAUCCCUGCAUGGUUUGAUGUUUGACUCU